rnacentral:tRNA from 1 species
GCCUGGGUGGCUCAGUCGGUUAAGCAUCUGACUUGGGCUCAGGUCAUGAUCUCGCGGUUUGUGAGUUCAAGCCCCGCGUCGGGCU